GCAAAACCACAGGAGUGAAAUUAAAUUUUUUAAAAAUGCACAUAUAAAGAUGAUAAAAUGAUGUUGCUUUAUUGAAAACAGCACGCAAUUAAACUAAAUAGACUGUAAGCACAGCCUUAAGCUCUAGGCCUGAGCUAAACAUGGACUCAUUAUCCACCAAACAGCGGAAAUAAACCGUCUCUAAGUAAGAAGGGACAGUCAUGCAACCUGUUAACCCACAAUCAGUUUAAUACGAAUAAUUUUCAUUAGUUAAGAAGUUGUUUUUGUCUGUGCGUCAGGACGUGGUGACGUCACUACGCCGGAUUCACUGUGCUGUAGCGCCACCCUUCGUCUUUACACAACCUUGUAUUAAGGGUGAUAUUUUUAUUUAUUUUAUAUGCACAUGCAGUUGAAAAGUUGUGAAGAAGAAAUGCAUAUAGGCCUCAACGUAGGCCUCAAAAUAAAAAAAAGGCCAAAUCUAUAAAUAUACAUUGCAUGGGUCACAUGGCACGUUCGAAUUAAUUCAAUUUUCCUUUCUUUGUUUAUACAUUUCAAAUAAUUUCAAUACAAAUACUUUACUCACUCACUCACUCAUUUUCUACCGCUUAUCCGAACUACCUCGGCGUCUCAGGCGUCAUCGGGCAUCAAGGCAGGAUACACCAUGGACGGAGUGCCAACCCAUCGCAGGGCACACACACACACUCAUUCACUCACACAAUCACACACUGCGGACAAUUUUCCAGAGAUGCCAAAUAAACCUACCAUGCAUGUCUUUGGACCAGGGGAGGAAACCGGAGUACCUGGAGGAAACCCCCGAGGCACGGGGAGAACAUGCAAACUUCACACACACAAGGUGGAGGCGGGAAUCGAACCCCCAACCCUGGAGGUGUGAGGCGAACAAAUACUUUAAUAAUACAUAAAUAUUGAAUUUAUAAAACCAUGAAAAUUGUAUGUAUGUGUGUGUGUGUGUGUGUGUGUGUGUGUGUGUUGAAACUCGUUAAUGAUUUGCACUAUUUUCCACAAGAAUCUAAAAGUAUAUAAAUAAAUGGAAUGUUUAAUCGUGUCUGAAUCCUCAUUACAAAAAGAUCAAAUGUGGUUUAUAUCUAGAAUACGUUAAAUCUAAUAUUAAAAAAUUUUAAUGAUCAACAUUUUCACAUGCUUCAAUAAUGUGUCCUUGUCCCUAAGCUCAAAAUUACAGUUUAACUUUAAAUUAUAGUGACAUUAAAAAAGUAUUAUCUUAUAAUUUACUUUAAUUUCAAAGAGGAUUACAUUAAAUGAUGUGCCAGUGCGAGAAUUCAGUUCAUUAGUGGGGAAAUGGUUAAAAUCCUUUGCAGAAUGGACCUGUUAAGAGGAUUGUUCAAAUGGACUGUUAUGUUGGUUCCUAAAAAAAUAGUUCUUCAUCAGUGCAAGACUGCAAAUAUGAAACCUGAAGACGGUACAGAUAUCCAUGACUCGGGAGGGCAUAAUAGUCGCUGCUCUAGAGUCUAGAGUGAAUUCCUACCCCGUGGACCUGCCUUGUCAGGAUUAUGAUACAUUGUGCCCUGACUCUGAAUACCUGUCAUGUCUUGAGUCAGACACAGAAUCAUUUUGCCUUCCCAAUGGAGCAGAGGUACAAGUAACGUAUGACAAUAUAGGCCAGCUCAGGUUGUUUGGUGAGAAAGAUCCACCUCAUAACCUUCUCGCCCUCCAUUUACCUGGAGAUGAAACCCAAGUUGUUGCCAUAUACAUGUAUCGCAAAUGGUGGUCCAUCAGUGAUGUUUUGAAGACAUCCAGCAAAUCCAGAAAUGGACUUGUGUUUGUGGAGUCAGUAAUGGAGAGAGUUAUACUGUUCCUGCUGAGUCAGAUUGUGUUUGGAAUGUUGGAAAGGUCUCCGGGAGAACGUGUGUAUUUCUCAACUCACCCUGUGUCAGAAUAUGGCAAAAUCUUCUGGCAAGAUGGAGAAGCAGUUGGCUUUUACACUGUUAAAAACAAAGGAAGCCUUUGCAAUGGAUACACUGCUCAGAGUUAUCUUCUCCCUGUGCUGGACACUGUGUUUGUGCGCAGCCACUGGAGGAGGAGAGGCUUAGCCUUGCAGAUGCUCCAGGAUUUCUGUGGGUCCCUGCCAACAGAGAGGGUGCUGGGUAUUAGUUACCCUGUAUCUCCCAGUAUGUAUAGAGUAUGCAAGAAGUACCUUGAGAUACACCAUGAACAAAGGGAGCACCUUUAUGAAGUGGAAGCUCCUGGGAAUUGGAGUCAGAGACGCAACGUGUGGUUGAACAUACUUCUCCAGCAACGGCCAACAAACAGUGAGCCUGUUCUGUUGAUGUUGAUGGUAGGAUUUUAGAAGAGAGUCCAAACUUCACACAAGCUACUGACAAACAACUCACAGCAAAUAAAGGGAAGAAGAAUAAGAGACAACUAGCAGGCACUAAAUGAAACAGAACCCAGAGAAGAUGUGUAGAGAAGAAACUGACCGGGCUGGGACAUAACAGAAGUGGGAAAAAAUAAGAUAUCAUCGUGAAUUCUGUUCUACUGUAUUGUAUUAUUACUUUAUUAGCUUUAUAUUUUAAUUAUAUAUUCAUUCAUUUUCUACUGCUUAUCUGAACUACCUCGGGUCACGGGGAGCCUGUGCCUAUCUCAGGCGUCAUUGGGCAUCAAGGCAGGAUACACCCUGGACGGAGUGCCAACCCAUCGCACGGCACACACUACGGAUUCACUCACGCAAUCACACACUACGGACAAUUUUCCAGAGAUGCCAAUCAACGUACCAUGCAUGUCUUUCGACCGGGGAGGAAACUGGAGUACCCGGAGGAAACCCCCGAGAACAUGCAAACUCCACACACACUAGGCGGAGGCGGGAAUCGAACCUCCAAACCUGGAGGUGUGAGGAGAACGUCCCCCCAAAUUAAUAAAUAAAUAUAUAUAUAUUUCCCACUUGCCUUAUUGAGCACCAGGAAGGAAAAGACAAUCAUCAUUUACAGAAAUGGCAAUGGUCAUUUGUGUAGAACAAAAAUGUUUAAAUUCAAAUAAAGCUACAUCUGGAUUUAACAGCAAUCAUAGGAGUUGAGGAUCAGGCACAACUGAAGAAGAAACAAAAGUAAUUACUCUGUAACAAUAUUGGUUAGUUGUCAGCUAGAUGUUAAUGUAGAUUUUGUCUAUUAUAGAAGUGUUAUUUGGACAACACAACUGAACUAACGAAAUAUUUGACAUUUAUUUUUUGCUCCGUUUUUAUGCUUCCUACAUCUGGAAGUGUUUUCCCUUUAAGGAAGACAAAUUAAGCUUUCAGCCCACAUAGCCUGCUUCCAAGUGGCCAGAAUGUUAUGUAUAAUCUCCUGGUGAAGCCAAUUCGGUGUUGUUUUUAUAAACCUACGCUCAGGCUUGACACUCAAAUCCCAGAUUUGUCCAACUGAAAACAAUGAAUUACAUUGCUUAUUCACCACAUAUAAAGCACGUACUGUUUCAGAUCAUGCCUUUUCUUUCUCACUGGCAAAAUAUUUCAGUGUAUUUUAUUAUUUCAUAUAAAUGUAUUUAUUAUAAACUUGGAUGGAUAAUCAGAAUUUCCGUCACAAUAAUGGCAUGUAAUGGAAACUUUUAACAUUAGCAUUUGGAUGGAAUGGAAACUGGCAUCAUUUAACAACUCUGGGCUUAAAUGGAUCCUCGCAGGAAUUGAGGUUUGGUUAAUAACUGGGUCUCCAUGACUGACUUUUUAAUAAUCAAACUGCAUAAAUGGAGCUUUAGUCAUGUCUGCAUGUUCAUUUUAAAGAUGGAUGUGUUAAGCUUUCAACUCAUUAUAAGUUUUCCUACUCUUUGAGCCUAGCUUGUUUGUAUUUUUAAUCCUGGGCAGUUUGACAGUUUACAAUUAUCCAGUUCCUGCUAAGGAAAGCCAUCCCAAUUGCUGCCCUAUUCAGAUGUCUCGAAUAAGAAAAUGUAUUGUUUGAAUUUUGCACGAGAAAAUAUUUGUUAAAAUAAAAACUUGGCAGUGAGAUGUCGAUAAACAA